UAAUGCAAUUGAGGAGAGAGGCUGAUUAGAAGCGCACAGUGAGGAAUCUCAUAAUCACAGCAGGAGGAGGGAGCAGUUGCCUCACCAGAGCCCAGCCUCAGGACAGCAAUAGAGGCAGUUCCACAGCUGCCGGGGGGGAACCCAGCCAAGAGAGAAACCCUCGAGCUGUCAGUAGAUCCAGAUGUCGCUGCUGCUGCUGCUUUUGGAAAGAGACACACCAGACGUUGUCAUCUGGGUCUUCAGCUGGUCCAUCUGUCAACCAGAGUACUAAUAUGACUGUUUGUGGCAGCAGCCAUCUUCCUGUUUUAUGCAUCAGACUACCACCUUCAGCUCCUUGAAAGGCUUCUACUGUUACAAGUUAAGUUGAGCAUAAAACUCAAUUUCUACCUACAGUUAUUUUAUAAAUAUUAAAAUAAAUAAAUAAAUGACUAUUUUUUU